AACGAACGCUGGCGGCAGGCUUAACACAUGCAAGUCGAACGAGAUCUUCGGAUCUAGUGGCAGACGGUUGAGGAACACGUGGGAACAUCCCUUUCAGUUCGGAAUAACGUUGGGAAACUAACGCUAAUACCGGAUACGUCCUUCGGGAGAAAGAUUUAUCGCUGAAAGAUUGGCCCGCGUCUGAUUAGCUAGUUGGUGAGGUAACGGCUCGCCAAGGCUACGAUCAGUAGCUGAUCUGAGAGGAUGAUCAGCCACAUUGGGACUGAGACACGGCCCAAACUCCUACGGGAGGCAGCAGUGGGGAAUAUUGGACAAUGGGCGCAAGCCUGAUCCAGCCAUGCCGCGUGAGUGAUGACGGCCUUCGGGUUGUAAAGCUCUUUUGUCCGGGAAGAUAAUGACUGUACCGGAAGAAUAAGCCCCGGCAAACUUCGUGCCAGCCGCCGCUGUAA
rnacentral:rRNA from 1 species